rnacentral:rRNA from 1 species
UACGAGGGGGGCAAGUGUUGUUCGGAAUCACUGGGCGUAAAGGGCGCGUAGGCGGAAGCUUAAGUCGGGAGUUUAAAACCGGGGCCCAACCCCGGAGCGGCUCCCGAAACUGGGUUUCUUGAAUGGGACAGAGGCUGGUGGAAUUGGGGGUGUAGCGGUGGAAUGCGUAGAGAUCCCCAAGAACACCGAUUGCGAAGGCAGCCAGCUGGGUCCACAUUGACGCUGAGGCUCGAAAGCAUGGGGAGCAAACAGG